GAAGGUGAAGUCGUAACAAGGUCUCCGUUGGUGAACCAGCGGAGGGAUCAUUACUGAGUUUACGCUCUAUAACCCUUUGUGAACAUACCUAUAACUGUUGCUUCGGCGGGUAGGGUCUCCGCGACCCUCCCGGCCUCCCGCCUCCGGGCGGGUCGGCGCCCGCCGGAGGAUAACCAAACUCUGAUUUAACGACGUUUCUUCUGAGUGGUACAAGCAAAUAAUCAAAACUUUUAACAACGGAUCUCUUGGUUCUGGCAUCGAUGUAGAACGCAGCGAAAUGCGAUAAGUAAUGUGAAUUGCAGAAUUCAGUGAAUCAUCGAAUCUUUGAACGCACAUUGCGCCCGCCAGCAUUCUGGCGGGCAUGCCUGUUCGAGCGUCAUUUCAACCCUCAAGCUCUGCUUGGUGUUGGGGCCCUACAGCUGAUGUAGGCCCUCAAAGGUAGUGGCGGACCCUCCCGGAGCCUCCUUUGCGUAGUAACUUUACGUCUCGCACUGGGAUCCGGAGGGACUCUUGCCGUAAAACCCCCCAAUUUUCCAAAGGUUGACCUCGGAUCAGGUAGGAAUACCCGCUGAACUUAAGCAUAUCAAUAAGCGGAGGA
rnacentral:rRNA from 1 species